rnacentral:lncRNA from 1 species
UUUACAAUAUUCAAAAUGUCCUAGCGGCAGAAACUUUUGUCUUAAAAAAAAGUUAGGAUUUCUACAGUACAUGUGCAAAAUCAAUGCGUUUCAGUACAGUUGGUCUUUGAAUCAAUAGCGAAAAAAUGUUUGGUUAGACCUUUUGCAUUUAAGCAUGAAAAAAUGAUUAACUUUGAUAAUUCCUCAGUUGGUACUGUUUAGUUUAUAAUUGCGGCGUUUCUUCAAAAAAAAGUUUAUAAUUGCGGCGAUGAAUGAAAAACUCUGCAUUGUAAUUAGGUUAGUUUAAUCUCAAUUGUAUACCAUGUAGUGUGAAUUUACAUAUGCUUUUGCCCCAAUAUAUAUUCUUUUGGUUCAUUGAUGAGUUUUGGGGGUUAUUUUAUACUGUUUUGGACUGAGAAUUUUGACAGCAAAUGGUCACCUCGCUUUCCCCCUGCCCCGUUUGGUAUCUUUCUCACUUAAUUAUUGAUCAAACGUGCCUGGAAUCUCUUUAUAUAAUAUAUUUGUGCUUACGAUUACUUGCGCAAAUAAUUAUUUAGGAUUUUGGAUUUGCAUCUUGGGUUUUGGUUAUUGAUUGAUUUAAUUUAAUUAGCAAAGCUAAGCAAAUCUGUAGAAAGAUUGUCACCUUUUGUUUUUAUUUUGAAUUUGGCUAGGAAUAUGGAAUUAAGUUACUUAAGGACUCAGUUGCCUAUGUCUAAUUAGUCAAUUAGAGUUGAUUCGAUAGUCAUAAGUCAAUGUAAAUCAAGUAGUGGUAGUUGAAUGAAAAAGAGAAGUGAAGAUGAGAUGGGUGAACGAGUGUUAAAGCCAAAUCUGAUGCAACUUGUCUUGUUCAUAAGUUAGAAAUGAAAUUUGUUUUAACCAUAAAAGAACUUGGUAGACAGUGGAAUACUAAAUUGAAUUCAACACUUGUAAGUUUGAAUUAUAUUCAGUCCAAAUAUAUCUGAUAUCCACUUUUUACUGCAAUUUUACUGAACUUCCAUUGGUUUUACUGCCAUCUUAAAUUAUGUUGAUGACCUGGCACUAAUUUACCUCAAAUUACAAACUGGCCUUCUUAAGUGGCCCCCCUGCAAGUGUACGGUAGGAUUGGACCCCUCGGAUUAGUCAGUUUUUGGGACGGAUACCAAGUUUUAAAAAAAUAAAACCCUCAAAUUACAAGUCUUAAACAGUUGCUAGAUAUCAUGUUCAGCAUAAGAGAUCUUGAAGCAGUAAGGUCCAAGAAAGACAUUUCCUUAUGCCAAAGGAAAUACACCCUUGACUUGGCUACAACAUGCUGGGUUAUGGCUUCUAGACCAUCUUCCACUCCAUGGAUCCUAGUUUAAAAAUUCAUUGUAAAUAUGGCCCACCAUUAUUUGAUACUUCAGUAUUUGGAAUAUUAACAAGUAAACUCUGACAUAUGUUAUUUGCAGAUUAAGCCAAUUCCUCUCUUCACUUACUGACACACACCUCAAAGCUGCUUUACGGAUUCUGCAUUACUUGAAGAACAACCCAGGCAAAUGCAUCUUCGUCUCUAAUGCUUCCAAUCCUCAUUUCAACCGGGGCUCUUGUCCAUACAGCAUAAGGUGAACCACUGAGUUCUGCUUUCUUAGUAGCUCUCUCAUUUCAUGGAAAAGCAAGAAGCAAUGCGUAGUUUCUCGUUCUUUCUCAGAGGCAUAAUAAAGAGCACUAGCUAAUGCAACUUGAGGCUCCACGGUUGCUUUAUCUUUUACAUGAUUUCAGCAAAACAUUCUACCUAAGUGCUUCAAUACUGUGACAAUAUUUCAGCUUUGCACAUAGCUGCAAAUAUGGUCUUUCACGAACGCACAUAACACAGAGAAACGGAUCCCUAUAUAGUUCAAGGUUCCAGAAUGUUACAACUCAUGCCAAGCGCGUCAAAAGACCAACCUGCAUAUUCAUUAACAAAACCUCUGCACCUGGUAUUUUGCACUCUCUACUUUCCAAACUCAACAUGGUUAAUAUACAUUCCUGCUUGAGGGGGGUGUUAAAUAUACUAUUUAACCCAUUUGACUUGGUCUAAGCUAUCACAUAUCUCAUAAUUAAUUAGAAAACGUUUACUUU